CGCGGCCUAUCAGCUUGUUGGGGGGGUAAGGGCCUACCAAGGCGGCGACGGGUAGCCGGCCUGAGAGGGUGUACGGCCACAUUGGGACUGAGAUACGGCCCAGACUCCUACGGGAGGCAGCAGUGGGGAAUAUUGCACAAUGGGCGCAAGCCUGAUGCAGCGACGCCGCGUGGGGGAUGAAGGCCUUCGGGUUGUAAACUCCUUUCGCUAGGGACGAAGCUUUGUUGUGACGGUACCUAGAUAAGAAGCACCGGCUAACUACGUGCCAGCAGCCGCGGUAAUACGUAGGGUGCGAGCGUUGUCCGGAAUUACUGGGCGUAAAGGGCUCGUAGGUGGUUUGUCGCGUCGUCUGUGAAAUUCUGGGGCUUAACUCCGGGCGUGCAGGCGAUACGGGCAUAACUUGAGUGCUGUAGGGGUAACUGGAAUUCCUGGUGUAGCGGUGAAAUGCGCAGAUAUCAGGAGGAACACGGAUGGCGAAGGCAGGUUACUGGGCAGUUACUGACGCUGAGGAGCGAAAGCAUGGGUAGCGAACAGGAUUAGAUACCCUGGUAGUCCAUGCCGUAAACGGUGGGCGCUAGGUGUGAGGGUCUUUCUACGACUUUCGUGCCGUAGCUAACGCAUUAAGCGCCCCGCCUGGGGAGUACGG
rnacentral:rRNA from 1 species